CCCGCCCCUAGCAGCAUUGCAGCAAUCUAUGGCUGCAGUGUCAUAUGUCUGUCAGUAGGUGGCAGAGAUGAGACAGGCUAUGUCUGUGCUCAGUGUUCUGACCUGAAAAAAAGCAAGCCUAAAACA